rnacentral:rRNA from 1 species
CCUACGGGAGGCAGCAGUCGAGAAUCAUUCACAAUGGGGGAAACCCUGAUGGUGCGACGCCGCGUGGGGGAAUGAAGGUCUUCGGAUUGUAAAACCCUGUCAUGUGGGAGCAAAUUAAAAAGUUAGUACCACAAGAGGAAGACACGGCUAACUCUGUGACAGCAGCCGCGGUAAUACAGAGGUCUCACGCGGUGUUCGGAAUCACUGGGCGUAAAGAGUGCGUAGGCUGUUUCGUAAGUCGGGUGUGAAAGGCGCGGGCUCAACCCGCGGACGGCAUAUGAUACUGGGAGACUAGAGUAAUGGAGGGGGAACCGGAAUGCUCGGUGUAGCAGUGAAAUGCGUAGAUAUCGAGAGGAACACUCGUGGCGAAGGCGGGUUCCUGGACAUUAACUGACGCUGAGGCACGAAGGCCAGGGGAGCGAAAGGGAUUAGAUACCCUUGUAGUC